GAUGAACGCUGGCGGCGUGCUUAACACAUGCAAGCCGAACGGAAAGGCCCAAGCUUGCUUGGGUACUCGAGUGGCGAACGGGUGAGUAACACGUGGGUGAUCUGCCCUGCACUUCGGGAUAAGCCUGGGAAACUGGGUCUAAUACCGGAUAGGACCACUUCUUGGAUGUUGUGGUGGAAAGUUUUUUCGGUGUGGGAUGAGCUCGCGGCCUAUCAGCUUGUUGGUGGGGUAAUGGCCUACCAAGGCGUCGACGGGUAGCCGGCCUGAGAGGGUGUACGGCCACAUUGGGACUGAGAUACGGCCCAGACUCCUACGGGAGGCAGCAGUGGGGAAUAUUGCACAAUGGGCGCAAGCCUGAUGCAGCGACGCCGCGUGGGGGAGGACGGCCUUCGGGUUGUAAACUCCUUUCGCUAGGGACGAAGCGUUUUGUGACGGUACCUGGAGAAGAAGCACCGGCUAACUACGUG
rnacentral:rRNA from 1 species